GCCACGCCAUGGUGAGCAAGCUUGGGGACGAGUCUUCCAGCCUUGGGAUGACAGAGCUCCGGACGACAGCUGGACGGCAACCUCCUGGGAGACCCUGAGCCAGAACCAGCCAGAAAAUAGCGCUCCUGUAUUCCUAAAACCAGAAAACGUGGAGUGAUUUAUCUGAUGGACAAAUUUCAAAAGGAAGAACUGAGUACUGUUUUCCUUGUGAGAGCUGUUGGCUCCUGGGUAGAGAUUUUCACGAUUGCUCCUGGGGGCUGGCUGUCCCCAACACCAGCGGCCCAUAAUGCCAUGACUGCAUGGUAUCUGCUUCCCAGAGAACCCAAGUGACACCAAGAGUCACCCAAGAAAGCAGGCAGUGAAGAUGCAGUUUCAGGACUGGACCACUGACCACCCAUCUGGU